UGGGGGUGUGACUCAGUGGUAGAGUGCUUGCCUAGCAUGCAUGAGACCCUGGGUUCAAACCCCAGCACCACAA